CAAGACUACUUGGGCUCCAAGCCCCUCAGGCAGAUAUCAGUGAUGACACAAUGCUCCCAUUCUGCUGUCAGUGUGUCCGUGACCAAGGGUGCAUAAAGGAGCCUUUUCCCAUCUCAACAGCCACCUUCUCACAUUUUUUGUUGGUUCUUUUUGAUCCCACAUUUGUAGAUCAGAUGGCUAGCAGGGGCACCCUUGCCCAAGUUUAUAUGUCCAGUAAUGACAAAGUUGGUAUCUUUGCUCUUCCCACUUUGGCUUUAGCAGUUUUCACAGCACCUGUAUUCUGGAAGCAACCCUUCUGUAAAAGAUGUCAUUCUCUUUCUGGCUUGAAAUACUACCCUUGACUUCUUGUUGGUUAUUGCCAGGGAUUGCUGUUAUCUCUGGGAGGUCACCCUCAGAUCCUAGCCAUGUGCUGUAGCUUGUAUCUAGAUGUUCCCCAAAGCCUCAUUGGUCAUAUGUGGGGAGUUUUGAAGGUGGCUGGAUUAGGGUGUGUGAUGCCUGAUACCAGGAUUGAGGAUUCAAUAGUGGGAUUAAGGGUGCCUCACCCUAGGUGUGAGUGCUACCUACCCAAGAGGAGGUAGCCUGGAUGGAAUAUGAGGGGCAGAAAGGCCGGCUACUGCUUCUGCUUUUGUUGCUUGCUGCUUGCAGCCUUCUGCCUGUCCUGCUACACCAUGGACUGUUUCUCCUCUGCGAUGCCCCUCUGCCAUGCCACCCUGCCUUGGAGCCGACUAUGAACUGAAACCCCUACAAACCAUGAGCCAAAUAAACCUUUCCUCCUUUAACUGGGUGUCCCAUUGUUUGCCUUGGCAACAAGAAAAGUAACCAAGACACCAUGUGACCCUCUUACAACAUGGAAGUUACUUCUUCAAAGCAAGCAGGAAUUUCUUCAGCAUGCUAAAGAGUCGUAUCAUAUAAUCACAAGAAAAUAAAUACACUAGGGACUUCUGGGAAGAUGGCCAAGCAGUAAGCAGCAACAAAUCAACCUCACCGAGAUUCACAAUCCAAACUUGGGGAAGAAAAGAAGGAGGGUGGUAGAUCCCUGGGACUCAGGAAGGACCUGAAGGGAAAACGGCACACACAGAGAAACUGAAGAGACAGACUGCAACACAGAAAAAGAGGGCAACCGGCACUUCCUCCACAGCUCCUGGCUGUGGCAAGAGAAAGGAAGAUCGAAUCUACAGAGACACAAUAAAAGCAAGACUCCAGAGGACUUCAAGGAGAAAUGCUCCAGUGGAACAGAGCAGUGGAUGCCAUGUGCUACAAUAGCUGGUGAGUGACUCCAGUCCAAGUGACUGCUGUAUCCCCUGGAAAGAAUGCUUCUUGGAUGCCAUUUUAGGGAGGGGCCAACUGAACCUGGGACUCAGAAGCCAUGGGUUGGCUUCAUCUCAGGGCUCCCAGUGUUAAACUCCCACAGUGACUGGGUGAGGGACAACCAUAGGAAAUGUCCAGGAUCAGGGAAUCAUGCUCAGCCCAGGAAGAGACACCCAAAGUGUUACAAGCUAAAUGCCUAUGACCCCAAUCCCAUGACCAGAGGCAAAGAUCAGCCUGAACCUCUGUGGAUUUGAAAGUACUAGAACUGGCACCCCACUGUAAUCCUACUGCAGGCUUGGUGGGAUUAUCUGGUGUGGAUCUGGGUUCUGGCUGCAUCCUUUGUCUAUCAGUGAAUGCAGAGUGACACCCUGAAUUGGACACAGUCACAAAACUAUAGACCCCAGAAGAUAAUCACAAGCUUGAAAUCACAGAGAAAAUUUCUUCUGAUUUUUUUCUUCUUUUUUAUUUUAUGUUUUCAUUUCUGUUCAUUUGGGUUUUUUGUGUGUGUGUGAACAUUCUUUUUAGUUUUUUCAUUGGUUGGGCCCUUGUAAUUGUUUUUUUCCUUCUUUCCCUUCUGUUUCCAAAGCUUGAGUAAUCUUCCUGUGUCCUUCAACCUUGCUUCUAUUCUCUUUCUCUUCUUUUACUUCCCUUUUAAAUUUUUAUCCCUUGGGGUAAAAGUGCUCUACCUACUGGAUAUUUUCUUUACAUGUAAUUUCUGAUUUGUCUUAGAUGUUGUUAUAUAACUAUAAAUCUUGUACCAAUGGUUAAAGGUGGCAAAUUAUUAGUUAUCAUAGUUUGUCAUUUUCCAGUCUG
rnacentral:lncRNA from 1 species